rnacentral:rRNA from 1 species
AUGUCUAGGGGUUCUGAGAGGAAGGUCCCCCACACUGGUACUGAGACACGGACCAGACUCCUACGGGAGGCAGCAGUGAGGAAUAUUGGUCAAUGGGCGCGAGCCUGAACCAGCCAAGUCGCGUGAGGGAUGACGGCCCUACGGGUUGUAAACCUCUUUUGUCGGGGAGCAAAUUCCGCCACGUGUGGCGGAGUCGAGAGUACCCGAAGAAAAAGCAUCGGCUAACUCCGUGCCAGCAGCCGCGGUAAUACGGAGGAUGCGAGCGUUAUCCGGAUUUAUUGGGUUUAAAGGGUGCGUAGGCGGACUGUCAAGUCAGCGGUAAAAUACGGGGGCUCAACCUCCGCCCGCCGUUGAAACUGACGGUCUUGAGUGGGCGAGAAGUAUGCGGAAUGCGUGGUGUAGCGGUGAAAUGCAUAGAUAUCACGCAGAACUCCGAUUGCGAAGGCAGCAUACCGGCGCCCAACCGACGCUGAAGCACGAAAGCGUGGGUAUCGAACAGGAUUAGAUACCCUGGUAGUCCACGCAGUAAACGAUGAAUACUAGCUGUCCGGGGCGAAUGAGCCCUGGGUGGCACAGCGAAAGCGUUAAGUAUUCCACCUGGGGAGUACGCCGGCAACGGUGAAACUCAAAGGAAUUGACGGGGGCCCGCACAAGCGGAGGAACAUGUGGUUUAAUUCGAUGAUACGCGAGGAACCUUACCCGGGCUCAAACGACACAGGAACGUACCUGAAAGGGUUCGGCUCUACGGAGCCUGUGUCGAGGUGCUGCAUGGUUGUCGUCAGCUCGUGCCGUGAGGUGUCGGCUUAAGUGCCAUAACGAGCGCAACCCCCAUCGACAGUUGCUAACAGGUCAGGCUGAGGACUCUGUCGAGACUGCCGGCGCAAGCUGCGAGGAAGGCGGGGAUGACGUCAAAUCAUCAUGCCCUUUAUGACUUGGGCUACACACGUACUACAAUGGCGUUAAACAAAGAGAAGCAAGACCGCGAGGUGGAGCAAAACUCAGAAACAACGUCCCAGUUCGGACUGCAGGCUGCAACUCGCCUGCACGAAGUCGGAAUUGCUAGUAAUCGUGGAUCAGCAUGCCACGGUGAAUACGUUCCCGGGCCUUGCACUCACCGCCCGUCA